UACGUAGGUGGCAAGCGUUGUCCGGAUUUAUUGGGCGUAAAGCAUGCGUAGGCGGAUACUUAAGUGGGAUGUGAAAACCCGGGGCUCAACUCCGGACCUGCAUUCCAAACUGGGUGUCUAGAGUACAGGAGAGGAAAGGGGAAUUCCUAGUGUAGCGGUGAAAUGCAUAGAGAUUAGGAAGAACACCAGUGGCGAAGGCGCCUUUCUGGACUGUAACUGACGCUGAGGCAUGAAAGCGUGGGUAGCAAACAGG
rnacentral:rRNA from 1 species